GGACGAACGCUGGUUGCGUGCCUAAUACAUGCUAGUCGAACGCUGGAGCUUGCUCCAGAGUGGCGAACGGGUGAGUAACACGUGGGUAACCUGCCCAUCAGAAGGGGAUAACACUUGGAAACAGGUGCUAAUACCGUAUAACACUAUUUCCGCAUGGAAGAAAGCGAAAGGCGUUUUCGUCACUGAUGGAUGGACCCGCGGUGCAUUAGCUAGUUGGUGAGGUAACGGCUCACCAAGGCAACGAUGCAUAGCCGACCUGAGAGGGUGAUCGGCCACACUGGGACUGAGACACGGCCCAGACUCCUACGGGAGGCAGCAGUAGGGAAUCUUCGGCAAUGGACGAAAGUCUGACCGAGCAACGCCGCGUGAGUGAAGAAGGUUUUCGGAUCGUAAAACUCUGUUGUUAGAGAAGAACAAGGAUGAGUAAAUUCAUCCCUUGACGGUAUCUAACCAGAAAGCCACGGCUAACUACGUGCCAGCAGCCGCGGUAAUACGUAGGUGGCAAGCGUUGUCCGGAUUUAUUGGGCGUAAAGCGAGCGCAGGCGGUUUCUUAAGUCUGAUGUGAAA
rnacentral:rRNA from 1 species